rnacentral:lncRNA from 10 species
CUCGUGCCUGUAAUCCCAGUACUUUGGGAGGCCGAGUCGGGUGGAUCACUUGUGGUCAGGAGUUUGAGACCAGCUUGGCCAACAUGGUGAAACCCCAUCUCUACUAAAAAUACAAAAGAUUCGCUGGGUGUGUUGGCACCCGCUUGUAAUCUCAGCUACUUGGGAGGCUGAGGUGGGAGGUAAGUUUGAACCCAGGAGGGAGAGGUUGUGGUGAGCCAAGAUGGCACCAUUGCACUCCAGCCUGGGUGACAGAGUGAGACUUCAUCUCAAAAUAAAUAAAUAAAAAUCAAAAAAAUAAAAUAAAGGGGUUAACUCUUCUAAAAAGGUUCUUUUUAAUUCUAUGAUUUUCUGAUCUAUUAAUGUGACUAGCAAUUUUGUGAGAUGUAGUUUGUCAUGUUAUCACUACUUUUUGGUUAAAACACUGUGGAAAACCUUGAGUGGUAACUUUAUCUUAGUCCAGGUGAUUCCAGUUGCAGCAGUAGCUAGGUGCCCUGCGAUAACUCUCUCCCCUUGAGGGUUUCCAGUGUGGGAAGUUGUCAUUUAGGCGCGCCAAAAGUGGUCUGGCCUCUCGUGCUUCUUGAGAUCCCUUCCGGGCUCUGGUCUAUCUUGUCUCCUUAGCUGGGGGCCUACAGUCAUCUAGAGUAAAAGGGAUGGUU